rnacentral:rRNA from 1 species
UGGGGAAUAUUGGACAAUGGGCGCAAGCCUGAUCCAGCCAUGUCGCGUGAGUGAUGAAGGCCCUAGGGUUGUAAAGCUCUUUCGCCAGGGACGCGGUACCUGGAUAAGAAGCCCCGGCUAACUUCGUGCCAGCAGCCGCGGUAAUACGAAGGGGGCUAGCGUUGUUCGGAAUCACUGGGCGUAAAGCGCACGUAGGCGGAUCUUUAAGUCAGGGGUGAAAUCCCGAGGCUCAACCUCGGAACUGCCUUUGAUACUGGAGGUCUCGAGUCCGGGAGAGGUGAGUGGAACUGCGAGUGUAGAGGUGAAAUUCGUAGAUAUUCGCAAGAACACCAGUGGCGAAGGCGGCUCACUGGCCCGGUACUGACGCUGAGGUGCGAAAGCGUGGGGAGCAAACAGGAUUAGAUACCCGGGUAGU